GUGAGGAAUAUUGGUCAAUGGACGAGAGUCUGAACCAGCCAAGUAGCGUGAAGGAUGACUGCCCUAUGGGUUGUAAACUUCUUUUAUAAGGGAAUAAAGUGAGGGACGUGUCCCUUUUUGUAUGUACCUUAUGAAUAAGGAUCGGCUAACUCCGUGCCAGCAGCCGCGGUAAUACGGAGGAUCCGAGCGUUAUCCGGAUUUAUUGGGUUUAAAGGGAGCGUAGGUUGACGUAUAAGUCAGCUGUGAAAGUUUACGGCUCAACCGUGAAAUUGCAGUUGAUACUGUAUGUCUUGAGUGUACAAGAGGUGGGCGGAAUUCGUGGUGUAGCGGUGAAAUGCUUAGAUAUCACGAAGAACUCCAAUUGCGAAGGCAGCUCACUGGGGUACAACUGACACUGAGGCUCGAAAGUGUGGGUAUCAAACAGGAUUAGAAACCCCUGUAGUCC
rnacentral:rRNA from 1 species